AGCAAUCUGCCUUGGAGUGGGGAAUAACGGCUGGAAACAGCCGCUAAUACCGCAUGACGCGUCUGGGAGGCAUCUCUCUGGACGCCAAAGAUUUAUCGCUCUGAGAUGAGCUCGCGUCUGAUUAGCUAGUUGGCGGGGUAACGGCCCACCAAGGCGACGAUCAGUAGCCGGACUGAGAGGUUGGCCGGCCACAUUGGGACUGAGACACGGCCCAGACUCCUACGGGAGGCAGCAG
rnacentral:rRNA from 1 species